rnacentral:rRNA from 1 species
AGCCAGACUCCUACGGGAGGCAGCAGUGGGGAAUAUUGCACAAUGGGGGAAACCCUGAUGCAGCAACGCCGCGUGGGUGAAGGAGCGUUUCGGCGCGUAAAGCCCUGUCAGCGGGGAAGAAGAAAGACGGUACCCGACCAAGAAGCCCCGGCUAACUACGUGCCAGCAGCCGCGGUAAUACGUAGGGGGCGAGCGUUAUCCGGAAUUACUGGGUGUAAGGGGAGCGUAGACGGCGAGGUAAGCCUGAAGUGGAAGCCCGCGGCCCAACCGCGGAACUGCUUUGGGAACUGUACGGCUGGAGUGCAGGAGAGGUAAGUGGAAUUCCUAGUGUAGCGGUGAAAUGCGUAGAUAUUAGGAGGAACACCAGUGGCGAAGGCGGCUUACUGGACUGUAACUGACGUUGAGGCUCGAAAGCGUGGGGAGCAAACAGGAUUAGAUACCCUUGUAC